ensembl:lncRNA
CUUGUCCAGUCACGCAGUGUGUAAUCGGGUCUGCGUAGCGCGCACUACACUUUAGUUGAACUAUCCUCCGUGAAAAAAAGCUGUAGGAGCAACUGGAACCCGAACAACUGACCCAGACAAACUCCUGUAGCAACACGAUGGUAAUUGCUUCCGCUUCCAAAUACCCAGAGACAGCCGCUAACUCCCUCUGGAUGAUUGACGGCAUUCAUUUCUCCUCUGCCAAACAGCGGUCACUUUGGGACAAUAUGACGUUUGGUACCUCUUUGGCUAUAGGAACACACCAUGACAGUGUGUCUGACGGUGUGUGUGACGGUGUGUGUGCUAUCAUACAGUGGCAGCAUGUCUUCCCAUUUGGAGAACAAAUGUUUCCUGUAGAAUUUCUUGCUGAUGCUCUUCCUCUU